AAAAGUUCACUGGGUUUUGCUAUGGGCUGAAUGUUUCUGCACAACCCCCCUCCCCUGCGCCCAAAUUUAUUUGUUGAGGCCUAAGAACCUACUGUGAUAUGUUUUGAUGUAGAGCCUUUGGAAGGAAUUGGGCCAUGAGAAGAGCCCUCAUGAAUGGGAUUAGUUCCCUUAUAAGAAGAGACACCAAGGAAGUGAUCUUUCUCUGCCCUCUGCUAUGUGAAGACAAGGUAAGAAGACAGCUAUGAACCAAGAAGCAGGCCCUUACCAGACACCAAAUCUGCUGGUGCAUUGAUCUUGGACUUCUCAGCCUCCAGGACUGUGAGAAAUAAAUGUUUAUUGUUGAAGCCACCCAGUCUACAGUAAUUUGUUAUAGCAGCUGAAAUUGACUAAGACAAUUUAAAAAAAUUAAUCUCAUUGACUAUCAAUUUGGAUUCUGGAGCAUACCUGGAUUCAGGUAUACAUUGGAUUUGGGCAUAUCUGAACUGGAAUAUGGUCUCUAUCAUUCUAACUCCUUUAACUAAGUUAAAGUCUGUUAAGUGCCAAACCUCAGUAUUCUCAUCUGUAAAAUGAAGGUAGUGAUAGUAUCAAACUGAUAGUGGUAGGUUGUGGUGGUGCACAAAAGGGCCUAGUCCAGCACUGGACACAUGGUGAUGAUGAUGAAAGAUAAUGAUACUGAUAAAUAAGAAGACAAUACUAAUAUACAUAAUUCCAAAAGAAUUUUUCUUAAUACGUGAUCCUCUUCACUCCCCGUCUCCCAUCCCCAUUAAAUUACCUGGAAUUUUUUAGUCCAUCUUUCAGUUUGUCAAGCAACGAAUAACACUAAAGGUAGUCUUUUUUAUUAUCGUGUAAUUAUGGAAUUUUUUAUUAUUUUGCAUUUUAAAACUUUGUUUUGAAUUUCCAAAACUUUUUAUUUAAUAUCUAAAAUGUCUUUCUACUAAAAUUUUGCUCUCACCGUCUGAGACUCAAAGCAGAAAACCCAGCCAAGACCAUCUCAAAUUCUGACCUACAGAACUGGGAGUUAAUAAUUGGUGUUGUUUUAAACUGCUGAGUCUGUGGUAGUUUGCUAUGAAGACUAAUAUAGUUGGUUACUAUUGUUAUUCUAAUUUCAGGGAGAAGGAAUAAGUCAUGGAGCGGUUAGGUUAAUUGUCCAUCCUCUCAAGUUAGUAAGUGUUGGAGCCGAUAAGUGAAUCUAAACAGCGUGAAUCUAAAGCCCACUGCAUACUUCUGCCAACAAUUAUGAAGGGUCGACUGUAUGCUAAGCUCUAAUGCAUUUUUACAUAUAUUGCUUUACUAAAUAGGUUACCUCAACAACCUUUAUGAGGUAAAUAUUAUUAUUAUUUGCAUUUGACUACUGAGGAAACCAAGAAUCAAAACCUUUAAGUACAUUGCCCAGGAUCAAGGUGGCGGUGAGGAAUGGAGCCAAGAGCUAGUAUCAGAGCCCUGCUCUGGUUCCAGUAGUGAUUUUCACAGCCAUUGUGUUAAAAUGCCUAUUUAGACAGUGGUCUAACUUACUUUAUUUAUUGACAUUUUCAAUUUCAAUGGUUAUAAUUAUAAUUGUCAUUUUUUAGUACAGUUUGCAUUUCUCCCUGAUCUUCUUGAUGCAUCAUUUUAGAAUAUACAUUGCUGAAAUGUAGAAUUUCAAGCACAUUUUAAAUUCUCUACAAUAUUUGCAUAACUCAUAACACUUUUCUUCAUUGCUCCCACAAGCACCAAGAUAAUUCUUUCCUCCAACCCUCUGCUCAUGCUGUUAUCCCCACCUGAAAUGCCCUCUUACAAAUCCUACUAGCUGAAUUACAGUUUCCAUUUAAGACCUCCCCGAAUUAUUCUAGCACCAGAGAACCAUCAUUUCUUAGAAUUAACAGUGCUUUUAAUUUUUUUUCUAGUUGUUUCACUUGUGUUAAUCUUAUCUUUCCAAAGAAUUAUAUGGUUCUUACCAUUUAGAUAACUGCAUGUCUUAGACAUAGCUGAGUGUUAUGUUUUAAAUUUCUUCAGUCUUUCCACUGUGAACACUAAGGAAAAUUAAUUUUUAAGACUACAGAUUUGAUACCAAAUCCCUACUUCCUAAUAUUUCACUGCCUGAUUCCCUAAUGGAUGCUCUUUCCAGAAAAUGUGUAGGGUCAUUAAGCAAGAGUGUACCUUUGCUUUCAGAAUUUGACCCUGGUAGGAGAAAUUUCUGGUGCUUCUAAUUCUUUCCCUCCAGUUUCCCAGUCAAACUCAUUUCAGUGACUUGGUUUUUAGCUUCCUGAAAUAUGUUUGAAUAAUUAAUAUAUACACACAAUAAAAGUUCAAAGGUACAAAAGAGUGUGCAGGAAAAUAAAAGUUUUCCUCCUAAUGACAUUCCCUUCUUACACAAGGUUAUUCCCUCAGGGCCUACUGCUGAUAUCUAGUAGCUAUGCUUGUGUAUCCUUCUAAAGAUACACAAACACACCCCCCUAUAUAUGUGUGUUUAUAUGUACUUGUGCAUACAUGUGUGUAUAUAUAGUGUGUAUAUGUGUACACACAUACUUUUUACAAAAGUUACUAAAUUAUACAAUCAUGGAUCUUGCUUUUCUUCACAAACGUUCUGUGUUUUGAAAUUGUAUCAAGGACUGCAUAGUAUCUGUAUAUGUAAAUCCUUUUUGAUAGACAUUUAAGUUGCUUCCAAUCUUUUGCUAUUGCAAGCAAUAUUACAUGAAUACACAUUUUGCACAUGUGUGCAAGAUAAACAUAUUAGAAUAGAUUUGUUGAAGUAACAUUGUUGGUGGGGGGAAUGUUCAUAUAAAAUUGUGAUAGAUAUUACCAAUUUGCCAUUCAUAAGGUAUCUAUGAGUUCACCCUUCCACCUGUACUGUAUCAGACAGCUUGUCUCUCUUUAGUGUGGCUGAUAUGAUUCUUAACAGUCUUUGAAAGACAAAAAAAGGUAUCUCAUGGUUUUGAACACCUAUUAUUUUUACUGGGUUUGAGCAACUUUUCGCAUAUUUAAAAAUAAUUAUUUUCUUUAUGUGAACUGGCAUUUCAUGUAUUUUGCUUUUAUUUCUACUGAUUUGCUAACCUUUUUAUUGAUUGGUAGGAGAUCUGUAUAAGGAAAUUCAUCCAUUUGGGGUCACAUUAAUGUCAAAAAAUUUAUCCAGCUGGUUCUUGUCCUUUAACCUAGUUUACACCUAUUUGUUUGAUUUUAUUGUGCUAAAAUUGCUAAAAUAUUUUAUAUUUGGGUGAUGAAAUUUAUCCACCUUUGCUUUAAGAUUUCUAGGUUUUGAUAUUUGCUAAGAUAGGCUUUCAGUAUUCUGAAUUUAUAAACAUAUCUUACAGUGUCUUAUAGUAGUUUUAUGAAUAUUUCAUGUGUGUUUUUACAAUUCUUACCAAAUUAAAAUUUGAGAGAUAGUAUUUGUUACUCAUAGCCCUCCAGACUGGGUGACAAAGUGAGUCUCCAUUGUGAAAUAAAAAAUAAAAAGAAAAAGAAAAGCCAUGGUUUUGAUAACUAAAU
rnacentral:lncRNA from 10 species